AGGCUUUGAUCCUGGCUCAGGAUGAACGCUAGCGGCGGGCCUAAUACAUGCAAGUCGAGGGGUAUAAGUCUUUCGGGACUUAGAGACCGGCGCACGGGUGCGUAACACGUAUGUAACUUGCCCCUAACAGGAGGAUAGCCUUCCGAAAGGAAGAUUAAUACUCCAUAGUAUAUUAAGGUGGCAUCUUUUUAAUAUUAAAGCUGAGGCGGUUAGGGAUAGGCAUGCGUCCCAUUAGCUAGUUGGUAAGGUAACGGCUUACCAAGGCUACGAUGGGUAGGGGGCCUGAGAGGGUGAUCCCCCACACUGGUACUGAGACACGGACCAGACUCCUACGGGAGGCAGCAGUAAGGAAUAUUGGGCAAUGGACGAGAGUCUGACCCAGCCACGCCGCGUGCAGGAUGACGGCCCUAGAGGUUGUAAACUGCUUUUGUAUAGGAAGAACAGAGGUUACGUGUAGCCUUAUGACGGUACUAUAAGAAUAAGCAUCGGCUAACAUCCG
rnacentral:rRNA from 1 species